AUGCAGGCCUCUUCAUGCAGGAAGAAGUGUGUCAUCCCAACCCCUGAGAGAGAGUCCUCACCUCCAGAUUCCCCCCAGACCCCCAGGGUGGGGCCCCUCCCUUCAUUCCCUCGCCCCACGUCUUCCAUCCGCCCAGCCCUUCUAGAUUCUUCUGGGCUCCACACACCCCAGGGGUUCCUGGCUUUUGAUUCCCUUCCCCCACCCUCAGUGCCCUGUGCCUACAUUAGCCCUGGACAUGCAGAACUCAUCUUCUUUCCUGGGAAUCUUUGCCUCUUGUGCUUUGAUAAGCCUCACCUUCCUUGCCCAUCAGCCCAUCUUCUCAGGGGUUGUCCUCCAGGCACACAGCGGACCUCCAGUGACGCCCAAAGCUCUGAUUCCUGGCCACAGAGUUGUGUCCGAAGAGUUCAUUAGAGGGUCCCAACGCUCACACACACUUCCCCCUGGGUUGCUUUCAGGUUUCCUCCUGUCCAGUAUAACAGUUCCUAGGCUGUGCAGUCUUUAUUUUUCUUUUCUCAGACGUGUAAUGCUCAGAUCCUCUUAUUAAAAACAAAAAUACGUCGUUGUUUACCUGGCAUCAAAAGAAGCUUUGAGAAAAUAACUUAGGUCUUAAUGCUGAAGUCUUUAGAAAUUUACGUUUUUGCCUGGGGUAAAUAUUAUUUGUGAUGGAUUCUAUGGCUGCUGGGACACGUUACACAAACCUAGUGGAUUCACAACGCACAUUUAUUCUCUCACAGCCUGCAGUCCUGAAAUCUCCAAAAGGUUUCUCAGGGCUGAAAUCAGAGUGUCUACAGGGCCAGGCUCCUCCUGAGGCUCUUGGGGACAGUGUGAUCCCUUGCCUUUUCCAGCUGCUACAGGCUGUUCUCAUGCCUUGCCCCAUAACUCCUCAUCACACUGCCUUUUCUCCACCUGGUCCAUCCUCACAACAUCCUCUUCUACUUCCGGACUCAAAACUCUCUUUCCACUCCCUUUAUAGGGACCCCUGUGAUUUCAUUUAGAUUUUACCUGGAUAAUCCAGGAUAAUCUCCUACAUCAAGAUCCAUAACUUUAUCCCAUAAGCAAAGGCCCCUUGACCAUAUAAUGUAACUUUCACGGGGCACAUGGAUGAGGCCACAGAUAUCUUUGGGGACACUGAUUCAGUCUAUCGCUGUCUUAAAACAACUUCAAAAUGUUCCGUCUUCACAGACAAAAGCUUUUGAAAACACUGUCCAUUUCCACUCCUGUAUAAUGAGCUGUGGUAAAGUGCUGCCCCAUAGAUGAAUGGCUCUAUGCUCCCGCAGCGCUGUGGGAGGGUCCUGUUGCAUCAUUUCCUCUGACGUUACUAAUUAAAUUCCAGUUGGCAGGAAGCAACCUUGGAUUGCAAGUGCUUCUGAGGGCACCCUACACCCUCAUUGGCCAGGACUACUUCCUCUGU
rnacentral:lncRNA from 1 species